rnacentral:rRNA from 1 species
CCCUUAGAUGUUCUGGGCCGCACGCGCGCUACACUGAUGCAUUCAACGAGUCUAAAACCUGGUCUGAUAGGGCUGGGUAAUCUUUUGAAAGUGCAUCGUGAUUGGGAUAGAUGAUUGCAAUUCUUCAUCUUCAACGAGGAAUGCCUAGUAAACGCAAGUCAUCAGCUUGCAUUGAUUACGUCCCUGCCCUUUGUACACACCGCCCGUCGCUCCUACCGAUUGAAUGAUCCGAUGAAUACCAUGGAUUGAGAGUACGAAUGGAUUCGCUCAUUUCUGCUGCUCGAGAAGUGGAGUAAAUCUUAUCAUUUAGAGGAAGGAGAAGUCGUAACA